CCUACGGGUGACAGCAGUGAGGACUAUUGGUCAAUGGCCGAGAGGCUGAACCAGCCAAGUCGCGUGAGGGAAGACGGCCCUACGGGUUGUAACCCUCUUUUGUCGGGGAGCAAAGCGAACCACGUGUGGUUCAUUGAGAGUACCCGAAGAAAAAGCAUCGGCUAACUCCGUGCCAGCAGCCGCGGUAAUACGGAGGAUGCGAGCGUUCUCCGGAUUUAUUGGGUUUAAAGGGUGCGCAGGAGGAGGUGCAAGUCAGCGGUCAAAUUGCGGGGCUCAACCCCGUACUGCCGUUGAAACUGCAUCCCUUGAGUGCGCGAGAAGUAUGCGGAAUGCGUGGUGUAGCGGUGAAAUGCAUAGAUAUCACGCAGAACUCCGAUUGCGAAGGCAGCAUACCGGCGCGCAACUGACGCGCAUGCACGAAAGCGUGGGUAUCGAACAGGAUUAGAUACCCCAGUAGUC
rnacentral:rRNA from 1 species